AAAAAUGGAAAAAUUUUUGUAAACAUAAAACCUACCAACUCUGAGUCAUGAAGAAAUCGAAAGUCUGAAUAGAC